rnacentral:lncRNA from 1 species
AUUAACGGCGAUUGUCACAUUGGAUACUUUAAUAGACAAUAUAUGUAAGCUGGCCAGAGAUAAUAAAUAUCGCGCGGUAGCUAUGCCCAUAAUCUCAGGAGGGAUUUUCGGAUUUAACGAAAUUACAAUGGGCGCAGCCCUGGUAAAUGCGUUGCUAAGGAAAACAGACCGAACUGAAUGGCCUAAAGCAUGGAUAAUUUGUCACCCAGAUCCCAUGGUCCUAGAAAAUGUAACUACGAGAGUAAAUCAGGAUCAGGAUGCUGGGGAAGGGAGGUCGAGCCAGGGAACUGGUAUUAUACAGAGACCGAUGAAUCCCGAGGCCGAGGUGCCAGAGGAAGACCCAGAUCCUGAAUGGCCAGAGCUGAGGCGAACGAGAACAGCUAGGGGGAGAAAAGACAGGGUAGAAAACCCGUUCCCCAGAUUAAAACUGGGAAGGAGUUAUGAGACUUUUCGAUUAGGAAAAGGCUUCUAUAAACCCACGCAUGCCACGAGCAGAAAAAGGGAAACAGCUUUAGACAGGACAAAUAAAUGGGAUGAAGAAUAUGUCCCAGGAAUAACCUGCGGACAAGUUUGGUCCAUUUUGAACGGAGGAGACGCAGUUCAGAUUUUAGCAGACACCUCACUGACACAGCGAGCUAAGAGAGCAAUAUUAGCGCAAAAAGAUUUGACCAGCCAGGCCGCGCUGGAAAAGAUAAUCAGAAGCGCGGUGGGUAAUGAUCUAUUCGAAGAGUAUUAUUCAGACGUGGGACCAGAAAGUGACAGUGUAGAAAGUGACUCAGAUGAGAAUCAGGAAGACUCAGAUUAUGAGCGGUUAGUGGUUGAAAGAACAGAGAGAAAUGUGACACCUCUCCCUGUCAGAGCGGCGCGAGCGCCGAGAAGGCUCCGUUUCAGAGACCGAACUCCGGAGUCAGACAUUCAGCCAGAGAGGGAGAUUCAACCAGAGAGGGAAAUGAAUCGACCAGUAGGGUAUGAUGCACUAAAUCAGCAUUUGGAGGCAUUACAUUUAGGGACACCAG